rnacentral:lncRNA from 1 species
GACGGAUGUAUUUUGUUGGUCUGGUUUCUCGCUGCUCCGGCUUUGCAAACAUAUAUUAUUGGACAUUUGGUUCUUACAACGGUGCAAAAACAUGAACUUCGUUGCUGGCUAUUGUCUUUCUCUACUAAUUAUAAUAGUAGUACAAUGUAAACCAUCUUGCCAUCCCUAUCAGAAGGAUGGUCUCACACACUACCCGUUGUCAGACCCAGAUCGGGUUUUGAAUGCCCCACCCACCGACUGUGAUGUUUCAUACGAACUUGAAAACGCCACUAAUAUCGCCAACCUGAACGGAAACAAACUCCCUUACGUGAUAGAUAUUACCAUCAAUGGACUCACAACCACGAUGUGUUUCACAUAUAUUGGCAUCAGGUGCGCCUGCAACUCAGAGGGGAUUCUAUAUGAAGUACACUGUAACAUCAGCUGCAAUGAAACAACUCCCUCCACUGUGGAUCAAAGCAUCAAACCCACUCCCUCCACUGUGGAUCAAAGCAUCAAACCCAC